rfam:Gossypium raimondii Chr08_contig_866, whole genome shotgun sequence.
CCAUAUUUCGAGUUUUGUGCGUGAAUCUAAUAAAACUGUAAUCCACACACAAAAAAUGUGGAUUUGUUUCAUGUUAGAUUCACGCACAAACUCGUAAUCUGUCU